AGAGUUUGAUCCUGGCUCAGGAUGAACGCUAAGGCCUAACACAUGCAAGUCGAACGGCAGCACGGGUAGCAAUACCUGGUGGCGAGUGGCGCACGGGUGCGUAACACGUAUGCAACUUACCCUUUACCGAGACAUAACCCAUCGAAAGGUGAGCUAAUAUCUCAUAAUAUUACAUUGAGGCAUCUCAGCGUAAUUAAAGUUCCGGUGGUAAAGGAUAGGCGUGCGUCCCAUUAGCUAGUUGGUAGGGUAACGGCUCACCAAGGCGACGAUGGGUAGGGGUUCUGAGAGGAAAGUCCCCCACACUGGUACUGAGACACGGACCAGACUCCUACGGGAGGCAGCAGUAAGGAAUAUUGGUCAAUGGGCGCAAGCCUGAACCAGCCAUGCCGCGUGCAGGAAGACGGCCUUAUGGGUUGUAAACUGCUUUUGUGAGGGAAAAAACUGGGGUACGCGUACCUCAUUGCUUGUACCUUACGAAUAAGCAUCGGCUAACUCCGUGCCAGCAGCCGCGGUAAUACGGAGGAUGCGAGCGUUAUCCGGAUUCAUUGGGUUUAAAGGGUGCGCAGGCGGACUAAUAAGUCAGUGGUGAAAUCCCAUAGCUUAACUAUGGAACUGCCAUUGAUACUGUUAGACUAGAGUGUAGAUGACGUAGGCGGAAUGCGACAUGUAGCGGUGAAAUGCUUAGAUAUGUCGCAGAACACCGAUUGCGAAGGCAGCUUACGAAACUACAACUGACGCUCAUGCACGAAAGCGUGGGGAUCAAACAGGAUUAGAUACCCUGGUAGUCCACGCCCUAAACGAUGAUUACUCGUUGUUAGCCUGUACAGGUUAGUGGCUAAGGGAAACCGAUAAGUAAUCCACCUGGGGAGUACGAUCGCAAGGGUUGAAACUCAAAGGAAUUGACGGGGGCCCGCACAAGCGGAGGAGCAUGUGGGUUUAAUUCGAUGAUACGCGAGGA
rnacentral:rRNA from 1 species